GCCAUGCAUGUCUCAGUGCAAGCCACAUUAAGGUGAAACCGCGAAUGGCUCAUUACAUCAGUUAUGGUUCCUUAGAUCGUACCCACAUUACUUGGAUAACUGUGGUAAUUCUAGAGCUAAUACAUGCAAAUAGAGUUCCGACCAGAGAUGGAAGGAAUGCUUUUAUUAGAUCAAAACCAAUCGGUGGCGGGCUUGCCUUGCUCACCGUUUGACUUGGUGACUCUGAAUAACUUUCUGCUGAUCGCACGGUCUCGUACCGGCGACGCAUCUUUCAAAUGUCUGCCUUAUCAACUGUCGAUGGUAGUUUCUGCGACUACCAUGGUUGUUACGGGUAACGGGGAAUCAGGGUUCGAUUCCGGAGAGGGAGCCUGAGAAACGGCUACCACAUCCAAGGAAGGCAGCAGGCGCGCAAAUUACCCACUCCCGGCACGGGGAGGUAGUGACGAAAAAUAACGAUACGGGACUCAUCCGAGGCCCCGUAAUCGGAAUGAGUACACUUUAAAUCCUUUCACGAUUAACAAUUGGAGGGCAAGCCUGGUGCCAGCAGCCGCGGUAAUUCCAGCUCCAAUAGCGUAUAUUAAAGUUGUUGCGGUUAAAAAGCUCGUAGUUGAAUCUGUGUCCCACACUGUCGGUUCACCGCUCGCGGUGUCCAACUGGCAUGUCUGUGGGACGUCCUGCCGGUGGGCGCAGCCCCUCAAAAGGCGGCCCAACUUGAAAUCCUACCACGGUGCUCUUCACCGAGUGUCGAGGUGGGCCGGUACGUUUACUUUGAAC
rnacentral:rRNA from 1 species